GAUGAACGCUGGCGGCGUGCCUAAUACAUGCAAGUCGAACGCGGGCACUUGUGCCCGAGUGGCGAACGGGUGAGUAAUACAUAAGUAACCUGGCCUUUACAGGGGGAUAACUGCUGGAAACGGUAGCUAAGACCGCAUAGGUAGGGACACUGCAUGGUGACCGUAUUAAAAGUGCUGCAAGGCACUGGUAGAGGAUGGACUUAUGGCGCAUUAGCUGGUUGGUGAGGUAACGGCUCACCAAGGCGACGAUGCGUAGCCGACCUGAGAGGGUGACCGGCCACACUGGGACUGAGACACGGCCCAGACUCCUACGGGAGGCAGCAGUAGGGAAUUUUCGGCAAUGGGGGGAACCCUGACCGAGCAACGCCGCGUGAAGGAAGAAGGAAUUCGUUCUGUAAACUUCUGUUAUAAAGGAAGAAAGGCGGAUGGAGGAAAUGACAUCCGAGUGACGGUACUUUAUGAGAAAGCCACGGCUAACUACGUGCCAGCAGCCGCGGUAAUACGUAGGUGGCAAGCGUUAUCCGGAAUUAUUGGGCGUAAAGAGGGAGCAGGCGGCAGCAAAGGUCUGUGGUGAAAGACUGAAGCUUAACUUCAGUAAGCCAUAGAAACCAGGCAGCUAGAGUGCAGGAGAGGAUCGUGGAAUUCCAUGUGUAGCGGUGAAAUGCGUAGAUAUAUGGAGGAACACCAGUGGCGAAGGCGACGAUCUGGCCUGUAACUGACGCUCAGUCCCGAAAGCGUGGGGAGCAAAUAGGAUUAGAUACCCUAGUAGUCCACGCCGUAAACGAUGAGUACUAAGUGUUGGAAGUCAAAUUUCAGUGCUGCAGUUAACGCAGUAAGUACUCCGCCUGAGUAGUACGUUCGCAAGAAUGAAACUCAAAGGAAUUGACGGGGGCCCGCACAAGCGGUGGAGCAUGUGGUUUAAUUCGAAGCAACGCGAAGAACCUUACCAGGUCUUGACAUACUCAUAAAGGAUCCAGAGAUGGAUAGAUAGUUAUAUGAGAUACAGGUGGUGCAUGGUUGUCGUCAGCUCGUGUCGUGAGAUGUUGGGUUAAGUCCCGCAACGAGCGCAACCCUUAUCGUUAGUUACCAUCAUUAAGUUGGGGACUCUAGCGAGACUGCCAGUGACAAGCUGGAGGAAGGCGGGGAUGACGUCAAAUCAUCAUGCCCCUUAUGACCUGGGCUACACACGUGCUACAAUGGAUGGUGCAGAGGGAAGCGAAGCCGCGAGGCGAAGCAAAACCCAUAAAACCAUUCUCAGUUCGGAUUGUAGUCUGCAACUCGACUACAUGAAGUUGGAAUCGCUAGUAAUCGCGAAUCAGCAUGUCGCGGUGAAUACGUUCUCGGGCCU
rnacentral:rRNA from 1 species